GUAUUUAUUUUAAUUUCAGCAUCACGUUUUUAAGGCGAGCCUACAUUUGACGUUCAUAGACAUUUUAAAAGAAGGGUGUGUUAAAUGGCAGCCUUUCGAAGACCGUAUCCAGAACCCGUUCCCCCCCGUGAAGGACGAAAAGGCCCAGAUAGGGCGAGACGAAAGACUUGAGUGUGCACAGGUGUUGAGAAUGGAAGGCGAGGCGAGCACGCACGCCGAGGCGGCAGCUCAACCAAGCUUUAAAUUCGAUAAUGAUCCUUCCGCAGGUUCACCUACGGAAA
rnacentral:misc_RNA from 1 species